rnacentral:sRNA from 1 species
GGGACCGACGCCAGGCAGCGGAAGACCGGCCGGUCUAGAUGACGCCGUAACUGAUGUUCUGGGAAUACGAGCAGCCGUUGUCGAAAGUCCUUCUGUCGUGUGCGAUCGAGUAAUGGUGCGAGGAGCAGCAAUGCUCGGUCGCGAGUUUGGAGCCCGAGAGACUGUCGCGGCAGUUGACACAUUACUGGAUAUCGACCCGGAUCGGUUCUUGACUUCGGUUCUGGAAGAAGGUACAAUGCUUGCUCUAGGCACGCGUGCAGUAAGAGUGGCCUGUGUAUCGCGAUUUACGAUUCGGGCUGCGCGGGUCUCAGCACGUGCCGCAGUUGUCAUCUGCCUGGCAGAUGAAGUCGGAUUGGCAUUAGGCAACGUUGAAUGUGUGCUGGUCGACCUAACAAUUGGUUGAGGGCGAGGUAAGUCGAUACUGUUUUGCGAGGCACUACUAGAUAUAGGGACACCUCCAGCAGAGAGGGAGAUUCGACGGGAGCCAGUUGUGUGAGGAGCCAUCUUUCCUCUAACUUUGGGUGCAGAUGGUGUCACUGUUGAACUCGAAGAGGUUUUAUAGCCGAUGCUGCAGCACGUUUAUCCGCCUUGACACGCUGAAUAAUCUCAGCAACUUUGGACAAGCUCUUCGACCGACUAAGAGUAACAGGCUCCUUCUCAUGAGCUUGAUCCUCAUCUACAGUUGAAAGUGUAUAACUAGUACGAGACGUCGGUAAAGUGGCCUUGGUAGUUGCCUGAGCUUGGGCAGCGAUUUUUGAUGGUCUCGCUUGGCGAGGUCGCAGAGUAGCGGGCAUCGUCAUCGUUUCAUCCGCACCCAACAUCGUCCUAAUACUCAUCAAUAAAAGGCCUGGUGUAUGAUUGGAAAACCUACAUAUCCAUUUUGGCAAACAUGUCGUCUUCGGCAUGCAGUAAAUCCACAAAGCUCUCCUCCGUCCCUGAAGCUCUCUUUGGUUUUCCGACUUUAGCCAUGAGAUCUCUCACGUCCAUUGUCCUAUCACCAUCAUGGCCAGUACAUCCGGCAGCCGCUCGAGAAGCUGUAGCAGGCGGAAUCGUCAGCAUGUAGCUAGGUCCUUCAUCCAAAGUCUCGCGAGCAAUCAUCUCCUCGUCACAAAGAAGGUAUGCAGUCUUUUGAGGACUAAUGGGCAGGAGAGUGCUUUUGUCAAGACCAAUCAGCUGUUCUGAUUCUUCCUCACCAACAGCCGCAAGACUGUUGCCGGAAGAAGAAGCCGGGAAUGUACGCCUUGUUUUGGAUGUGGGAAAGCCACGGAGUGCAUUGGAGCGAGGAAGUGACUGAGCUUUGACCGACGAUGAGCGAGUAGGAGAUACUGGCCGAGACUCUGUAGCAGAGUCGUUAGAACCAUUGGAAGAGGUGGUCAUGGUGGAAUCGCUGCCGCACCAAGGUGGCUCGACACGGUGAAGAGCAUUAGUGGAGGCAAGAAGGGUUGAUAUCUCUUUGUCGUCUCAUCAUGAACGGGUCGCUGGUAGAACGAUUGAUGGUGUCUCCCUUUGGUCUGAUAUCGCUCAACUCAAAUUCCAAACUGUCAUCCCCUACACUACUGGCGCCGCCGAAUAAGGAACAUUCCCCGAUAAGAGAGAUAUCUCCCAUGUUUGGAAGAUGAAAUGAGGCCGAUAAUCUCGGUGCAGGUGCAGCUUGAGGGUUGACCGAUUGGUCUGUACAGGUGGAGGCGAAAGAAGACUGGGAGGUUGACUGAUCGCAAGUUACUUUUUCGUAGUGUGGGCCGACGUGAAGUGCAUCUGGAGAAAUGGAACUGUCGCCACCUCCCUCGAUAGAGCUGCUCAAUAUGGUAGGAUGAUUGGCCAUCGGGCCGCCAACUUUGACUGGACUCCCCUGAACCCUCAAACUAUCCCUGCUGCCCUUGUCGACUUCCUCUUGGCUUUCCGACGUAGGAAGGUCGGGAGUACUAUAUUGAGAGAUGGAAUGAGAGACGAUUCCUUCAGGAAUAUCAUCAAUCCUCCUUGAUCCGUUGGGAGUGUCUGGUAGACGUGGCAGCUGAGGAAGGUAUUCGUCAAGGGGAAGGCCAUUGAGGCCCAGCAUGGCUCUGGAGAGACCUGGCCUUCUGAUAUGUUGUAGGUGGGGACAUAGGUAAGCAAUACAAGUAUUCGGAGCUUCUCCGGAAAAAGUUCUGGAGGGACCAAGAUACGUUGCUGUGAGGGAGUUGGUGAAGAGUCAACAAGCCAAAAGACCAAACAUCCCAAACAUCGCACACAACAAACCAGGCGCGUUUUCGAGGAACGCGUGCCUUAUGUUUCUGUUUGAGUAAAAUAGGCCUGCGCGUUAAGUUCCUCGUUCUUAUGUUUUACCUUACGAGAGUAAUCCUCAUAUACAAUAAGCAGAGAUAUCAUUCCCGGACAUAAUAUCUCACAUUCGACAAAAUGCGUGAUAUAAAGAAGAAGCAGCAGUAUGAAACCCUCUCCCUCUCUAUUAAUAAUAAUCGACACGUUCUUAUCCAAAAUCUCCCCGCCCCGAAGAGAGUAUAUCUUCUGUCAGUCCAUCCGGGCAUACCACACAGAAGAACUCUUGGUCUUAACAGGCCGUCAUACAGGCGAAUAGCAAAGUUUCCAUACCAUCAACUAGAUUGAUCGUAUGCGUGCUGGACAAAAUCCAAGCAACCGGCGUGAACAAGGACUUGUCUCUUUUCGAGGUUCAAGACGAGAUGAGUAGUAUACCGCGCCAACAUUGCUUUCGUAGGUAUUAUCGGGAACCGCAGGACAGAUACGAUGCGAUGAUAUUCAUAUUAGUUUCGGGAGGAAAUGUCCCCUUUAUGUACAGGACAGAUAUGAGGUGAACCAAUGCAGUGCCAGGUUCAGUUGGAAUAUGACAGAAAGAAUGUAAGAUUUGGCUAAUUUGGGUAAACAAGAGGAAUAUCAAAGCAAAUCAAAGUCCAAUGCGCGAUUCGAUGAUGGUAAUUGGGGAAAUAAUAUGUACAGUAC